AUUGAACGCUGGCGGCAGGCCUAACACAUGCAAGUCGAACGAGUGGCGGACGGGUGAGUAAUGUCUGGGAAACUGCCUGAUGGAGGGGGAUACCUACUGGAAACGGUAGCUAAUACCGCAUACCAUCAGAUGUGCCCAGAGGGGAUUAGCUAGUUGUGGAGGUAACGGCUCAGCUAGGCCACGAUCCCUAGCCGGUCUGAGAGGAUGACCAGCCACACUGGAACUGAGACACGGUCCAGACUCCUACGGGAGGCAGCAGUGGGGAAUAUUGCACAAUGGGCGCAAGCCUGAUGCAGCAAUGCCGCGUGUAUGAAGAAGGCCUUCGGGUUGUAAAGUACUUUCAGCGGGGAGGCGUUACCCGCAGAAGAAGCACCGGCUAACUCCGUGCCAGCAGCCGCGGUAAUAC
rnacentral:rRNA from 1 species